CACCUGUUUCUUUUGGAAUAUUUGCCGCCAGCCAUCGGUAAAGAAAACAGGCUCUUGGCCUUUUUUGCUGUGCUACCUCCUGGUGCCCUUUGCUCAUCCAGAUGUUCCUCGAACUCCUGCUCAUGCAGGCGUAAAGGUGGCUCUCUCUCCAGUGGCGAGGAUGGGGCCACAGUGGUGAAGGUAGCUGCGCCAGCCCUCAGGGCGGCCCUGGUCCAAAGGACGUGGGUCCAGGAGCCAGCUCGCUGUCCCGGGAGGAGCCAGCUCGCUGUAGCCAAUGACGGGCCUGGUGGGCAGGAGGGCCCAGCCCCCUUGUUCCAGUGCCAUCAAUCUGAAGGGCCACCCACUUUCCGGUCGUCCCAGGGCCUGCUGACCCUGCCUUCCCCUCCCACCCAGCAGCCACACCCAGGAGCGCUCCCCAACACAUUCCUCGCUGGAAACCCCCAGGACACCCGCCAGCCUGUACGAACCAGGCGUGGGGACACUAACACAAGUCCCUUUCCUUCACUGGGGGGGCCCUGGGGCUGCUGCUGGGCCUGCUCGCGCUCCGGGGCUGUCCCCUCUUCGGCUGCCGAAGUCACCGCUGGCCCACCAGGCCUGGCAGCCACCCACCCGCUCCCUGCCGCCCGGGUCCGCGUGGCGUCGGCCGCCCCCACCCUUCCCCGCCCUCCCGGAGCCCGGGGGGCGCCCCCAUUCCCGCCGCCGCCCAGUCCUCCCAACCCCAGGCCGGAGCCGCGCAGGGCGCCUUCGCACACGUCCCGCGAGGACCAGACCUGUUCCUGGUCCCUGGGCCGCCCAUCUCCGCCGGGAAGGCGGCUUCCUCCGGGGCCCGGCCCCACCCCAGCGACCGGCAGCAGCGCGCCGAGUCGGACAACUCAGGCCGGGGCCACUACCAGGGUCAAGCCCUGUUCUGGGACCAAAGGAUGGCUCCACGGGAGCGCGCCUGCGCACCGCCCCUCCUCGUGGCGCGGAGGCGCGGCCCAGGAACUGCAGGAGCAGGCCAGCCAUCUGCGCCUGCGCAAGACCAGGCGCGACCCCGAGGGCGUUCGGGGGAGGGAACGCUGCGGACUGCUCGCAGCGUGCGCACGCACGCACGCACGCGUGCCUCGGGAAGCGUCGAGUCCGGGACGCCCAGAGCGGGCACGGAGCAGGGGGAAGGGAAGCGCGGCUCGGUCGGUGCGGGUGGAGGGGGGCGUGAGGCCGGCCUACGGUGGCCGUCGAGGGACGGCGCUACGGCUCCCACGCUGGGCCAAACUCCUCCGGCGGCCGCACCCGGGCGCCCCUUCACCUGCAGGGCGACCCCAGCCGAGGACGCGUGAACCACGCCCGCAGCCGCCCCGCCGGGGCCCCCAGCCGCGCGCCCCGGCACCAUGCGGCCGCCCUGCGCACGGAGCCCCGAGGGACAGGGGCGCCCGCAGUCCCGGCCCCCAGCACCGCCGGCCGGCCCCGAGGUCCGGGACGCCAGCGCCACCGCGGAGAGGGCACCGGGCCGACGCCUCCCCCGAGGCUCAGCGGCGGGCUCCCAGGCCUAGGCGCCCAUGACCCCUACGCUGACCGCUGCCUGGACGCCGCCGCCACCACCGCGAGUUAGCGCCGCCGCCACCAGGGCCCAAUGCCGGUCAUGCCCAUCCCGCGGCGGGUGCGCUCCUUCCACGGCCCGCACACCACCUGCCUGCAUGCAGCCUGCGGGCCCGUGCGCGCCUCCCACCUGGCCCGUACCAAGUACAACAACUUCGACGUGUACAUCAAGACGCGCUGGCUGUACGGCUUCAUCCGCUUCCUGCUCUACUUCAGCUGCAGCCUGUUCACCGCGGCGCUCUGGGGUGCUCUGGCCGCCCUCUUCUGCCUACAGUACCUGGGCGUUCGCGUCCUGCUGCGCUUCCAGCGCAAGCUGUCGGUGCUGCUGCUGUUGCUGGGCCGCCGGCGCGUGGACUUCCGCCUGGUGAACGAGCUGCUCAUCUACGGCAUCCAUGUCACCAUGCUCCUAGUCGGGGGCCUGGGCUGGUGCUUCAUGGUCUUCGUGGACAUGUGAGGGCCGUGGACACGAGCUUGAUGUAUCGUCCCGGCCUGUGGCUGUGUUCUUUCCAUGGGUGGGGUCGGCCAGGGCCUUCCCUUCCGCCCAUCCCGCAGGCAGUGGCUGCUGCUCAGCGCCCACGGAGAGAAAAGAAAGGGCUGAGACUUCCGCGAUGGGGGUGCGGACGCCGCCCCUAGGCUGGCUUCCUGCGUCCACCCUCCCCAUGUGCACUCUCAGGGGCGGCGCCCACCAGCUGGUGGCUCCUGCUCACACAUCUUCAGGUCCUACUGCGGAGUGGGCCCUCUGUUCUGCCUCUCUGUGGGCUUCUCUCCAGGACCACUGCCAGGGACUUUAGACGUCACCGUGGAAGGCCUGUGGACACAGAGGGCUGUGUGCCCAGGAACAAAUCCGGAGGGGGGGUUCCCUCCUGGCUGCACAGUCCCUUCCUGCGUUCCCUGGUCUCAGCCCCAGCCAACGGGACACGGAAGGCUCCUUGCGCUGACACACCACACUGCCACAAAGCUGCUU
rnacentral:lncRNA from 1 species